rnacentral:rRNA from 1 species
GACGAACGCUGGCGGCGUGCCUAACACAUGCAAGUCGAACGGAAAGGCCCUGCUCUUGCGGGGCGCUCGAGUGGCGAACGGGUGAGUAACACGUGAGUAUCCUGUCCUUGACUUUGGGAUAACUUCAGGAAACUGGGGCUAAAAUAGGAUAGGAGCUCCUGCUGCACGGUGGGGGUUGGAAAGUUUCGGCGGUUGGGGAUGGAAUAGAGGCUUAUCCGCCUGAUGGUGGGGUAGUGGCUUACCAGGUUUUCGAGGGGUAGCCGGCCUGGGAGGGUGACCGGCCACAUUGGUACUAAGGGACGGCGCAGACGCCUACCGUAGGCAGCGGUGGGGAAUAUUGCGCAGUGAGCGGAAGCGUGAUGCGGCAGCGCCGCGUGCGGGAUGACGUCCUUCGAGUGGUGAACCACUUUCGCCGGUGACAAAGCGGGAGUGACGGUAAUGGGUAAGAAAGCACCGGCUAACUACGUG